rnacentral:rRNA from 1 species
AAUCAACGCUGGCGGCGCGCUUAACACAUGCAAGUCGAACGAGAAAGCCGGGGCAACCUGGUGAGUAAAGUGGCGUACGGGUGAGUAACACGUGGAUCAUCUACCCUGGAGUGGGGAAUAACGCUGGGAAACCGGCGCUAAUACCGCAUAAUCCCGAGAGGGCAAAGGAAGCAAUUCCGUUUCAGGAGGAGUCUGCGGCCGAUUAGCUUGUUGGCAGGGUAAAAGCCUACCAAGGCANCGAUCGGUAGCCGGCCUGAGAGGGCACACGGCCACACUGGCACUGAAACACGGGCCAGACUCCUACGGGAGGCAGCAGUGGGGAAUCUUGCACAAUGGGGGCAACCCUGAUGCAGCGACGCCGCGUGAGCGAUGAAGCUCCUCGGAGUGUAAAGCUCUUUCGGCGAGGGAAGAUUAUGACGGUACCUGCAGAAGCAGCUGCGGCUAACUACGUGCCAGCCGCCGCUGUAA